AUGGUCGACUUUUGCACGUCAUUCAUGUUUAUUAAAGUUGAACGUCGCCUGAUUACCAUGCAGUUGAUGCAGUUUGCAGUCAGGAUCUGUUUAUUCGCGUUAAGUUGCAUUAAGAAAGCGUGGUGCUAAUUAAUUAUCAGUUCAGAAACAUUUUAUUAGUGUUCCUCGUAUUCCUAGUGGCGUUUCCUGGUCGAAUACGGCUAGGAAAUCGUGAAAAAAUUCUGUCGGCUAAUAGAAGGAGCAUAUUCUUUCUUGUGUACGUGAGAUUCGUGCGAGGAUAUAUGGCAGGGCCAGGGUCAUCUUACAUAAAGCUCUUGGAGAGCUGGAAGUGUGGUGGAAAUAUUAUCCAAGUAUUUAAAGAAAACGAGAUCGAUGAUGAGUCAUUCGUACUACUCAGCGAUCAAGAUAUACGAGAAAUGAUUCCGCUGGUGGGGCCUCGGAGUAAAUUUAUGAAACAUUAUAAGGCCUAUUUAGGU